rnacentral:rRNA from 1 species
ACUGCCGGUAAUAAACCGGAGGAAGGUGGGAUGACGUCAAAUCAUCAUGCCCCUUAUGACCUGGGCUACACACGUGCUACAAUGGUUGGUACAACGAGUUGCGAGUCGGUGACGGCGAGCUAAUCUCUUAAAGCCAAUCUCAGUUCGGAUUGUAGGCUGCAACUCGCCUACAUGAAGUCGGAAUCGCUAGUAAUCGCGGAUCAGCACGCCGCGGUCGAAUACGUUCCGGCCUU